CCCCAAAACUGCUGGCCUUCCCGGACAUUACGAUGCCUAGGAUCUUGCAGCGCCCAACGUAGGCUUACACCCACUGAUCGGAUAUUCCCUACGUCUUUGGCGUGAAAAAUCCCCACCGGCCACCCCGACAGAUCCUCCAGCUCGUAGGCGUUAUUCCCUACUGGACGUACGACUCUGCAUUUUAGGAAUUUCCGGGCGAACUUGGCGUUGUAGCUUUUGCCAAAGUCGCUGAGGGUGAAGUUGCGCCUGUAGACUUCUUGGCCAGGUCUGGCGAAAAAGACUCGGGCCCGUUUGUUGUAUCGCUGGCUGCUCCGCUCAUACGCUUGGUGUAGGCUGCGUUUAAUUUGCUCGCGAAUGAGGUGUCGCUUAUCCGCGGGAUCUAACGCGUGCACUUCAUGUUCCGUCAAAGACUGCAGCUUCCUCGCCAGCUUAUAGCAGUUCCCAUUCAGAAACAUCUGUUGUCCAAAUACAGCGAAAAACGGCGUUACGCCUCGGGCUUCGUGCACCGAGUCACGGAUUGAAACUUCGAUCUCCGCGAGUAUCGUCCGAUUUACUCUCUCGGCUGCAUUGCUUUGCGGCGAGUAGACUGCUGUGCGCAUGUGUCGUAUCCCGAAGCCGCUGACCAUGUCCAUGAACGCCUUCGAUAGGAACUGCUUUCCGUUGUCGGAGUGGAUCACCUCUGGCACCCCGAAUUUGUAGAAUACCUCUUGCACCAGGAAUUGAACGACGUUCGCAGCGGUCGCCUCUCUCAUCGCCUUCAAGAAGCUUGGAAGAAAAGAAUGCCACUAGGCGCUCUGCUUUGUCAUCAUCCAGCUGAAAAAGCACUGCUCCCACUCCAAAAUUUGAGUCGUCGCACUGGAUGUAGAAAUGGCGUUUAAAGUCGGCAUGGACUAAUACAGGAGCCGUGGUGAGAGCCUUCUUCAGGGAUUCUAUGGUCGCCCUCGCUUCCGUUGGCAAGAAAAACUUCCCGCGCGGAUGCUUCUUCAGAGCAUCUGUUAACGGUACCGCGAUGGUGGCGAAGUCCUUGAUGAAGCGCCUAUACCAUCCUGCGGUUCCUAUGAAGCUCCGUAGCUCCUUCACUGAACUCGGGCUCGGGAUCUUUUGUAUAGCCACAACCCUAUCGGGAUCCAUUUGCAGCGUGCCGCCUCCGAUGAUAAACCCCAGGUAUUUCAGCGACUUAAAGCAGAAUUUGGAUUUUUGUAGACCUAUCGUGGUGGCACUGGGCCACCAAUCGCAGAUAUCGCAGAUGCGUCUGGAAAUCCGGGGCUCUCACCAAAAGAUCGUCCAAAUAAACGAAAACGUUUGAUCUGAGCUGAGUCGGGAUUACCUUAUCCAUCACUCUGCAUAACCUCUGGGCAGCGUUACACAGACCGAAGGGCAUCAUCACGAAUUGAUACAGCGGACGGCCUGCAACGGUAAAUGCGGUGCACUUCCGGCUUUCUGGGUCCAAUUUAAUUUGCCAGAAUGCGAAUUUGAGGUCGAUGCUGGAAAUGUAAUAUGUCUGGUCAAUCCUGGAUAGUAUACCCUCGAUGCUAGGAAGAGGGUAAGCAUCUUUUACGGUGAGCUGAUUCAGUUUCCGCGCGUCCAAACAGAAUCUAUUUUUGUUUGGCUUUCGCACCACCGUCGUCCGAUUGCUCCAUGGACUAUCGCUGACCUCGAUCACUCCUAGUUCCAGCAUUUUAUCCAUCUCGGUCCAGAUCACCUCCUGCAUCGCUGGGGAUUGAGGGUAAUGCCGAUCUUUAAAUGGUUCUGCGCCCUCGAUCAACUGGAUCCGAUGCUGUUCUACCGUCGUUGUUCCUAAUGCGGCAUCCUCAUAGGUCAGAAACUCCUUCUUUACCUUCUCCAGCUCUUCGGGUUCCGUGUCUUCCAGGGUCCAAGCUUCCACAUCCACGUCCUCCUGGCGAUGUUCGACGUACUGGCUGAUUUGUGACAUUUGGAUCUCGCCUACUUGGGCCUCGCUGGAUCGCCUGGGCUUUUCUCCGAGGACUGUGGGAGCCAGCGCGAAGGAUCUCCAGAAAUCAAUACCCAGAGUUUGGUUUUGCCGACUAUGGACCUGUCUUCUCCAGAGGCUGUCUUGAUGAUCGAGACAUAAUUGUCCAUUUCCACCUCGAGGUCGGCAAGGAGUUCACGGCUGCCCUUUCCUAAGACACUAACGGAUGCCCCAGUAUCUAGGAGUCCAGCAAUCCGAAGUCCUCUUAUCUGCACUUCGACAAAUACUCUGGGAUCGCGUCCUGCUCCUCGUCUGACUGCCUCGGCCACCUCUUUGCGAGUCUGUCGCCUUUCCUUAAAUCUGGAACGGGCCUUUUGGAGUCUACGACUGACACCGCGCAUCCCCUCCAGCUGCCUGUCAUCAAAGAUCUGGUUUCGAAUUUGUAUGUAUCUCCUCAUCCUCUCUUCGGCCGUGGACCAUCGUUCAUUUCUUCGCGGGCUUCUGUCCCGAGCGCUGAUCUCCCGCUUUCAUCAUGCCCGAUCGUGCGUUUCCCGAGCAAUUUGGACACGUUGGAGUAAACAUUUCUGGCUUUCCGCAGCGGUAACAAAAUAUUUUGCGUUCCUUCGCCACGCAGUCUCGGAACCCGUGGUCGAACUGGCCGCAAUUCCAGCAACACAGCCUGAGUUUGUUCGCCAGCUCCUCCACUCGCUUCCCGGCUGAAUGGAAUUUCGGCGCAGGACGGAACGUAGACUUCUGCUCGCGUCCGCGAAAGUGGUACUCCACUUCCAGGCACUCUUCCCUCAGCUGCUCCACGUUUCGGACUCGGAUCGCGUAAACGUAGCGCACUCGCACCAUUUCGGACUCAACCAAAGAUUCGCCAGAUUGUUGUCGUCGCUCAUGCAAGGUGCGUAGCCGCUCGAACUCGCCACCCACUGCUCGGAACCGGGACACCAACUCGUCCUUCAAAUCCUCCCAUACUUCCGGAGGCCGUUCUCGGACAAAUUGCCAAUACCACUCCGCCGCUUGUCCUUUGACGAGAUGGUGAAAGUCGUCAAGGACCUCGUCCCACGACCGUCGGUUCUGCCUACGGAGGAACUCGACCCUGAACACGAAGUCCUGCACCGUCAUCUUAUUUGGGUCUCCGUCGAAGUGGAUUUCCCAUUUGUCGACGCGUCCCCAUCUCGCUCCUCUCCAAUCAUCUCUCCUUUCAAAUGGUGGCAGAUCUGUUGGACCUCCGCCGUCUCCUGAUGUCUCCCGUCUCUGCCUUCCAGCACCUGGAUCCAGGUCCGCUUCGCCUAUUCCUCGGCGCCAGUUCUGGCUCAACCUCGCUGGCUUCCUUGGAGGCGACUGGGAAUUCCAUACGUCAUCGUCCUUGGACCUUUUGGGAAUGGUCCCUGUGUUCGGCUUCUGCCUGAGGUCUUGGAUCAAUUCCACGUUCUGGCGCAGAGGCGCCAUCACCUCUGUUAUGGCCCCCAUGAGCUCCAUAAAGCCGCGACGGAUCUCCUCCUGCAGCGUCUUACUCAGGGUAUCUGCCAUGCUGCCUCUCCACGUCUCCUGUGCUUGCGCUAUGGCGACAUUUACUCCUGAGAGAAUCUCGGAGGGCAGUGCGUUGGAUUGGCCUGGCAAAUUCCAGCUGUCGUCUCCACGCCCCUCAGCGCCCUGUGUGUCACCGCCUUGCAUCUGUCCUUGGAGGUUACCUGGUGGAGGAGUCCUGCGGGUCAUUUUCUGUUUAGACCGCAAGUUAACAAUCGCCUAAACACUACCUAUAACGCUAGCUCACUGAUCUUCAGCACAAAAACACUUAAUACGGCAAAACAAUAAUAAGGGGGAAGAGGAACCACAGCAACGAGAGGGUAAGGCUGCUGCACAUGGCAGGGAGAUCCAAAACGUUGUUAUUCAGAUCUCAGGUAGGGAGGGUACGUCAGGGGUAAAACAUCGACACCUCGACCUGGUCCACGUCUGUGUUGAAGGAAGUUACUGUAAUGUUGUUUGUCAAGUAGAGUCCGUUUGCAGUUUUUUUUGUCGGUUACUUUUGUUGUUUCAAUUUGUUCGAGAUGUCCAAUUAGUUGGUAUAUUGUGCGACCUGAGGGCUUGGGAAGUACCCAGCCCUGGGAUGACUGGCUAGCCGGCCUUGCCCCGAAGAAAACAAAGGUUCGUAACAACGUGAAGCCCCCGAGUACGGAUCAGGGAUGCUGACCAAUGCCUUGCGCGGCUAUCCUUUGGUGGGCGAGCGGAUGAAAGUACCGGAAGGUUACAAGGGCCUAGUCCUGCAGGAGACGGAGAAGCCUUUGAGCGAGUCUGCUGACCGUCAAUUGCGCCUCACCGGUGUUUUUGACGAGUUCACCUACUGGAACUACGAUAAAGUCCCCUCAAACGGCGAUCCCUUCAGACAAGCCAUGCUUAUGGCAGAUAUGGCCAAGGCGCUGUCCGAACCCAUAAGCGAUUUGGAGAUUUGGAGGCAGAAAUUAGACGAAACCUGGAAAGCUAAAAGGAAAACGAUUCCUAGCUCUUUAGCGUGCUUACAGCGUUUAUUAUAUAAUAUUCUAAAAGCUAAUCAAAUAUAAUCUUAACAUUUCAUACUUUUUAGUCUUAAAUUUAUAUAAGAUUUCAAAUAUAAAUACGUUUAGUAUCA